GAUGAACGCUGGCGGCGUGCCUAAUACAUGCAAGUCGAGCGAACGGACGAGAAGCUUGCUUUUCUGAUGUUAGCGGCGGACGGGUGAGUAACACGUUGAUAACCUACCUAUAAGACUGGGAUAACUUCGGGAAACCGGAGCUAAUACCGGAUAAUAUUUUGAACCGCAUGGUUCAAAAGUGAAAGACGGUCUUGCUGUCACUUAUAGAUGGAUCCGCGCUGCAUUAGCUAGUUGGUAAGGUAACAGCUUACCAAGGCAACGAUGCAUAGCCGACCUGAGAGGGUGAUCGGCCACACUGGAACUGAGACACGGUCCAGACUCCUACGGGAGGCAGCAGUAGGGAAUCUUCCGCAAUGGGCGAAAGCCUGACGGAGCAACGCCGCGUGAGUGAUGAAGGUCUUCGGAUCGUAAAACUCUGUUAUUAGGGAAGAACAUAUGUGUAAGUAACUGUGCACAUCUUGACGGUACCUAAUCAGAAAGCCACGGCUAACUACGUG
rnacentral:rRNA from 1 species